rnacentral:lncRNA from 1 species
AUCUGUAACCCACUGUGCCUGGCCAGGGAUCGAACAGGGAUCACCAGCAGGAAAUCCUCCCUUGAAAGUUUGAUCCUGCUUAUCUACCCAAUGUAGAAGUGAGUCAUAUAAAAGAUAAUCCAGAACAUUUGCAUUCUGCCUUUUAUUUUGUCCUCAAGGCAUGCCCUCUGGGCCUCAACACCCAAGGAAAUGCCUUGUCCUAGAGAAAAUGAAUCCCAUUCUCCUCCUCUCCACACCCCCUAAGCAAGUGUUGCUCACUGAAAACCUGAAAGUAUUGAGGGUAGGGAUGAUGUCUUCAUUGCUUUUUUAAUCCCCAGGGCCAGCCCUACUGCUUGGUAUCCAGCAGAAAUUCAGCGAAGGUAUAAUGAGUAAGCUGGACAAUGUUUUCAUCCAAAAAAGGGAAUGGAUUUGGAUCAAUAGUAGAGUGGGUGUUAUUUAUAUGAUAGCAUUUUCAAUUGCGCCAAAUUAUCAAUUUUUACCUAGAGGAAAGACUGUAGUAGUGAGGACACUUGUUUGCCCCAAAUCUAAACACUGGAAGACUUAUGAGUUGUCUAUGUGCCAGUUACUAGGGUGUCAAGACUCAAAUGCCUUUUAUUCAUUCUUCCAACCUGUCAAUACUUAUCUACUACAUUAAGUGCUAGAUAUUGAGCACAUUUCCUCUGUGUUAGCACUCAUUUUUUGCCCAAUACCGAAGAAUAAAAGUUUUGUGAAAUUUCUCAAUACUUUAGAACACAAGGCAACAACCUUAAAGAAAUUACCUGUUUCCCAACCUAAAUGUCCAUUGAUGAAUGGAUUAAGAAGAUGUGGUACACAUACACAAUGACAUACUACUCAGCCAUAAAAAAGAAUAAUGACAUUUGUAGCAACACAGAUGGAACGAGAGACUCUCAUACUAAGUAAGUCAGAAAGAGAAAAACAAGUACCAUAAGAUAUCACUUAUAUCUGGAAUCUAGUGUACAGCACAAAUACACCUUUCCACAGAAAAGAAAAUCAUGGACUUGUAGAACAAACUUGUGGUUGCCAAGGGGGAGGGAGAGGGAGUGGGAUGGAUUAGGAAUCUGGGCUUAAUAGAUGCAAAAACUAUUGCCUCUGGAAUGGAUUAGCAAUGAGAUCCUGCUGUAUAGCACUGGGAACACUAUCUAGUCACUUUCGAGGGAGCAUGAUAGAGGAUAAUAAAAAAAAAAAGGAUGUAUGUAUGUAUGUGUGACUGGAUCACUUUGCUGUAUAGCAGGAAAUUGACAGAACACUGUAAACCAACUAUAACGGGAAAAAAAAAUCGUUAAAAAAAAUAAAGUACCUGUUUCCAAAUGCACCCCCAGUAUAUUAAAAACACACGUAGUCAUGAAUUUUCCAUAAACUAUACAUCUUUCAAUUAGACAAGAGAAUUAUUUCUAGAAGGUUUUGAACACUGACAGUAUGGUAUUUAACAUGUUUUUAAGAAAUUCUCCUAAGGAGACAGUGAGUUCAAAGGGCUUAAAAAAACUCAAGAAAGGUUUUCCUUUUUUUUUUUUUUUCUACAAAGUCUUCCUGUUAUACAACCUAAAUAUGUUAGUAUUUAGUGGGGGGAUUUAACUGCCAGUCAUAGACACUUGCCUGUAACAGACAACAUGAUAGUUCAUUUAUCAAUAAGUACUAUCCUUUUUACCGGCAAAUAAGUGCCUCAUGUAACCACUUUUCACCAUCUCCUCUGCUGUCAUCCCAAUUAAGCCUCCAUCGUCUCUUAUCUAGACUAUAACAUCCCAAUUAAGCCUCCAUCAUCUCUUAUCUAGACUCUAACAGCCUCCUCACAGAGCAAAGUCAUCUUCCCAAAGUAGAAAUCCAACCUUGUCCCUCCCUUCCUUAAACUCCAACUGCUUCUGCAUAUUUAGGGAACCUUCAUAUCACUUUGACUUCUAACAUUAGCUGCAAAGUGUAAGAGUCUCCGAGAUCACCCCUCCACACUUAUGACACCAAUUUCAAGUUUAAGAGUCAUCACCACCUCAGGUCUGAAAAUGUUCUAUCAAGACUCACAGAACUCACCGAACACUAUUAUACUCAUGGUUAUGACUUAUUACAGUCAAAGGAUAUACACUGAAAUCAGCCAAGUGAAGGUGUGUGUGGGAACCCCAGAAGGGCUCCAUGCACAAAGCAUCCAGUUGUCCUUUCCAAGGGAGUCACUUACAGCACUCACUUUUUCCAGCAAUGUCGUCUCAUGGUUAUCGCUGAGUAUUGCCAACUAGAGAAGCUCACCCAAGACUUGAUAUCCAGAAUUUUUAUUGGGGCUCAGGCACCUAGACAUCGUUGACUGCCUAUAUGGCUCAUCUUUAGCCUCCAGUUUCCCUUGAGGUUCAGCACAAAGCCACCAGCAUAAAUCACACCACUAGACUAUGCUCAGGUAAACAAAGAUACUUUUAUCAGGUAGAAUAUCACGAGGGGCUUCCAGGGGACAAGGGCAAAGACCAGACCUCUCCAAUGUAGGGUUAAGUGUUCCCAAUACUUUUGGAACAAAAACUUAUCACAGUUGCAAAGCCAGCUAAGAUCUGGCCCGUACCUGCCUUACCUACAUCUCCAUUUCCCCAUUAGUUGCUCUGUUCCAGUCACAUCAGCUUCCUUCUAUAAUUAUUUUUUUAAUGACCACACCUGCAGCAUAUGGAAGUUCCCAGGCCAGGGAUUGCAUCCGAGCCACAGCUUUGACCUAAACUGGAUUCUUUAACCCAAACUGGAUUCUUUAACCCACUGUGCAGGCCACGCAUUGACGGCACACCUCCAUAGCAACCCGAGCCACUGCUGUCAGAUUCUUAACCCACUGUGCCAUAUCAGGAACUCCAGCCUUCUUUUGGUGUCUGGGACACACCCAGCUCCAACUCAAGACAUUGUUCUUGCUGUUCCUUCUGCCUAAAUGCUCCUUCCCAGAUGUUCACACAGUUCUCUGCUAUUCAUCAAAAUAAAUGCCACCUCCUCAGAGAGGCCUUCCCUAAAUACCCUAGCAAAAGCAGCCACAACCUGUCUCCCAACACACAGAUGCACACACACAUGCACACACAACAGAUGUGUUCAUGUAGUGUGUACAUGUACACAUCACACACACACACACUCCACCACAUGACACUGUUUUUCUUCAUAGUACUUUUAAGGACGUAAAUUACAUUAACUGUUUAUUGCCUCUCUGUUGUUUACAAUAGAAGGUAAGCUCCAUCUUGUUCACCAGUCUUUUCCCAGUAUAUAGAUUGGUACCUAAUAGCUAGUGUCUGUUCAAAAAUAUAUGUGAUUGUAUAUGUGCCUGAUAUUAGACAGGUAUGGACACAAAGAAUUAUAACUUAUCUGAGCUGACUUCAGAUUAAUUACAUUCCUGUAAUGUUAAGAAGCAGUCUCUUUCUCUUAGCAAGAGACUAGGCACUGUAUGCCAUCUAUAAUUAACCAAGGGAAAACAUUAGUAGGAAUAUAUGAAAUAUGAUCAAAUGAAUGAGACUGAUUUUCCUCUGUGUAUUAUUAAAUCAGUCUCACUAUUUUGUGGUCAUAUAUUACAAUGGUGACUUAACUAUGAGGUUAUCAGUGGUAGAAAAAAAAAAGAUGAGAUGACAGGAUGGACCCAGGAGAACAGAGCUGAGUCUCCUUAUCUUUUCUUCCAUUUAAGAAAAACCCAAGUUCCUAAUUAAUGUUAUGCAAUGAAAAGUACAAGGUGAUUAUUCAUCAAUUAAGAAAUGAGCUAUCAAACCGCAAAAAGAUGGGGACAAAACUUACAAGCAUCCUACUAAGUAAAAGAAGCCAAUCUGAAAAGGCUACCUACAAUAUGAUUCCAACUAUAUGACAUUCUGUGAAAUGCACAAUUGUGGAGAUAAUAAGAAGAAUGAUUGCCACCAGGGGUUGAGGGAAGCGGGUAAGAUGGGUGAUACAGGGAUAGAUGGUGCUCAGGACAGUCAAACUGUCCAAUAUGAUAUGCUAAUAGUGGAUACAUGUAUUAUACAUCUGUCAAAAUCCCUAAACCACACAACAGCAAGAGACGCUAAUGUCAGCAAUGCUUUAGUUAAAAAUGGUGUAUCAACAUUGGUUCAUUGAUUGUAAUAAAAAUACCACACUGUUAAAAGCAAGACAACAGGGACAAAGGGGAGUCACUUAUCCUAACCCCCAUGUUAGCAAACUGAGACUUAAUUACAGUUUUGGCCUCUCCCACAAAUGGAAUCUUAAACCAGUCAGUCAGGAAGCCCCUGGUCAGCACUUGUUAACUUAUCUGCCUAGAAGACCACUGCCAAGUCCUAACGCAAAGGGACCUUGCCCAAGCCAAUCCACUUUUUGCUACUACGGGUAUACCCUGGUUUUCCAGUUUGCCUUAUGCCACUUUGCCUUCAUGAAAGACCUAUCUUAGUACCUGUUUUCACUCACCAAAAGAAAUCUGAAGAUUUUUGCUUUUAGCAAAAGAAAAGGAAAAAAAAAAAAAAAAAAAAAAAAAAGGCAGGGUAGGGGGUGGAUGAAGCCUGCGAACAGCAUUUGUUUUGCAGGCAGGCUUCACAGAGGUAGCUCACACCCAGAGCAGCAAGAGGGGCCCCACUAAGCUCUUCCCUAAGAACCACACUCAAUAGCUCAGCAUCCAAUCACCCUAACUUUCAACUGUGUCUGCAAGCAAACUCUGUCCUAAGGUAAUCAUGUCUUCACUUGACACCAUUUCAGCUUAUAGGAAAUUUCAGAGGAAUGCUCUAAUUUCAGACUAAGGGGGAAACCGAUCAAAGUUGCUGUCCCAGUCUCUUCCACCUAUAAAAAGUCUGUCAUUUUGUACAGCUCUUCGGCGCUCCUUUCCGUGUGCUGGAUGGGAUGCUGGCCUGUUCACAAAUAGAGCCAGUAACAUCUUUACAUUUUAUUCAGUCCAACUUUGUUUGGUAACAACAAGAUGUGAAUGGGGAAGUGAGGAGGAGAGACAGGAAGCACAUGGGAACUCUGCCAAAAAAGAAACCCUAUUAAUUUUUUUUUUUUUUUGUCUUUUUUUUUUUGCUAUUUCUUGGGCCGCUCCUGCGGCA